rnacentral:rRNA from 1 species
AGUCGAGCGGAUGAAGAGAGCUUGCUCUCUGAUUCAGCGGCGGACGGGUGAGUAAUGCCUAGGAAUCUGCCUGGUAGUGGGGGACAACGUUUCGAAAGGAACGCUAAUACCGCAUACGUCCUACGGGAGAAAGCAGGGGACCUUCGGGCCUUGCGCUAUCACAUGAGCCUAGGUCGGAUUAGCUAGUUGGUGAGGUAAUGGCUCACCAAGGCGACGAUCCGUAACUGGUCUGAGAGGAUGAUCAGUCACACUGGAACUGAGACACGGUCCAGACUCCUACGGGAGGCAGCAGUGGGGAAUAUUGGACAAUGGGCGAAAGCCUGAUCCAGCCAUGCCGCGUGUGUGAAGAAGGUCUUCGGAUUGUAAAGCACUUUAAGUUGGGAGGAAGGGUUGUACGUUAAUACCGUGCAAUUUUGACGUUACCGACCGAAUAAGCACCGGCUAACUCUGUGCCAGCAGCCGCGGUAAUACAGAGGGUGCAAGCGUUAAUCGGAAUUACUGGGCGUAAAGCGCGCGUAGGUGGUUCGUUAAGUUGGAUGUGAAAUCCCCGGGCUCAACCUGGGAACUGCAUCCAAAACUGGCGAGCUAGAGUAUGGUAGAGGGUGGUGGAAUUUCCUGUGUAGCGGUGAAAUGCGUAAAUAUAGGAAGGAACACCACUGGCGAAGGCGACCACCUGGACUGAUACUGACACUGAGGUGCGAAAGCGUGGGAGCAAACAGGAUUACAUACCCUGGUAGUCCACGCCGUA